AGACUUCCUUUGGGACGGUUAAAGAUUAACCAAAGUCUUGCAAGUUGCUAGAGAGUCUAGCCAGGAGGACUGUUCGCGGGCGGGCGGCGAGCGGGCGCGGGUUUGAUUUCUGAGCCCUAUAAAAGCCCAUCCUCCGAUGGCUGUGACAAUGUGGUCGUAAACCCGUCCGGGGCCGGCCAAUUUGCAUAUUUGGAAUGCGCCGCUAUAAACCCGGCUGGGGUUUUGCAGCAAUUUCUUAGAUGUAAAAAUGAGAUCUCUUUAGCAGCGGGCUGGGCACAUUCUUUCCCUCAGUCUAUGCCUAGAGCCUGCUUCCCUCUCCCGGGCUCCGGGCUGAAGUUCGGGCUAGGCCUAGUCGCUCAGCCGCCACGAGAUGGCGCACGUCCGAUCAAUGUCAAAGCCGCCGGGGAGCCGGGAACCCCAGCGCGAUUCUCGGCCUUUGUUCGCUUCUGAUACUAAGAGCAGCACGUUACAUUAUUUCACUUGUCCCGCUCCCCUUAGUAUCAAAAAAAGGGGGGGUCACCUUCGAGAAGUAAUUGGUGUAAUUUAAAGCAACGCGCCUUCUUUAGGCCUCGCAGGCGUCGCGGCACGGAGAAGCCUGCUGUCCCUUGGCAGUGAUUUCGGAAAUGUGUCAAGCAAGAAACUCAGUAUCCCGUUUGGUUUAUUGCAAGGGGAGAAAAGACACUGGAGAAAAACAUCCAGCUCUCCCAAAGGUCAGUGAAGACCCAAGUGCCAAUGCCAUGGUCUGAGAGGCUGCAGCAAGCCUUCCACCUCCUCUGAGUCGGCAGCCAACGGGACCUUCAUAUAGCAGAUGCAGCACCAAGCUGACUUUUGUAACCUUGGUUGGCACCUGCAUGCUCUUGGAUCUUACCCAGCCUAGAAGCCCAUUUAGUCACCCUACAGAGCCCUGACCAGACUAAGCCUGAACUGCCUAGGGCCGGGGCAACCGGCUUGUCUUACCAGUCAAACUGGCAGGGCUGCUGAAUUCCGGAGGGUCCUGGAACAUUCUGGAGGGCCCAAGGAGAAGACUGUGAGGAGUCUGUGAACUCCUUGAGAAUGAUGGGUCAAAUUGUGGGAAUGCCCAGAUGUGCAUUUUUCACAGGAUAAGAAUCAGAGCUUGGCCUUAGCUUUUCCAAAGGGGCCUUAACUUUCAAAGAGAAAGACGGGUUUAGAUCAUUGACUUUUCACUUUAUUUUCUUAGCCUCUGCCAUCUCAAGCAUCCUCUCCCAUGGCCACUGACCCUUUCCAAUCUACAGCCUUGGGAAGUUGCUUUGUGCAUUUAGUGGGGAGAGUAACCAAGUCCUGGCCCAUUGGCCUGCUGGGACGCGUUCUUUUCAAGGAACCCUCUCCUGUUCUUGGGACCUACUUCACACUCUGCGGAGCUUUCUUGAUUGGCAUGAGCAGUGCUAAGAGGCAAAGCCCCUUCUCAAGCAGUCCUGAGUUUUGUGGCAUUUCCCAGUAGCACUGCUGAGCGCCACAGUCCCAAUGCGUUACACCCUCCUGGUGAGUGGGAUAAGGACCAAGCCCGUCCAGAGAAGGGUCCUAGGUUUCCGAGCUCUGAAGCUUUCCAUAUGGAAGUUUGUCGAUCUCGUGGGCCUAGCCGGAUUAGAAAUUGCCUUGGCCUUGUUCGUGGGAAGGAGGUGGGCAGUGAAGGACAGCUCCUGAUCUCUCCACACAUACUUGAUUCGGCUGCGGCUGCUACUUCGGCCUCAGGAGCUUGUGGACUGGAAAGAAUUAGUUCUCAGACACUCUCCCCUUCUCUCCCCCUCUCUUUUCUCUCCCUCUGGCCUUCUCUCCUUCUGUGUCUCUCUGUCUUUCCCUAUCCCCCUCCUCUGUACCCCCGAUGCCCAGUCUGCGGAUCCGGUCACCGCCAGGCGCAGGCCAGUUGGGUGGAAGCGGCUAGAGCGCAGCGCAAACUGUGGCGCGGCCGCCCGCGCUGCGGGCGGGCGGAGAGCAGCCACAGCAGGCAGAUUCCGCAACUGCUUGCAUCUCAGAAGCCAGCGCCAGGGCUCUUCCGCCAGCUCUCCCGUGCACCCUCUCUGGGUCUUCUCAGACUCGGCUUCCUUCUCGGUCUGGGUUCACACCGGGAGGAACAAGGCCAAGUGCCUGGCAAAUCACCCGGGAUGCAAGGGUCUUUCCCCGCUGCAGGCAGAGGCCUGAGCGGUCUGCUUCCUGGGAUCCCGGCGUUUAGCAGCCCCAGUCUAGGCCUCUGCAGGGGCUGGAGCUGGUGCGGCGGGCAGGCCUGGGGCAUCCUGGAGAGCUGUAGCCCACCGGCAAGGGGCAAGGCAGAGACCUCCUGGACUGUACUGGAUCCGGGCUGGGAAAGGUCGCAUUUCCUGAGAUAUGUAAGAGGCCCACACAGGGGCUAGCGCCCUGGGACAGCAGUUUCCAUUGACUGAGAGAGCGUUCCUACGGCCAGAGAAAAAGGAGGCCCCGGUGUCUGCUGAGCAAAGGGCCUGGCCUCCAAAUGCUGCUAUAACUGGGCCACGAGCCCAGCCCGGGCUUGCCGGGAACGGAUUUCCUCACCGCGGGCCUCGUUAAAAUGCGCACACCGCGGGAGUGAGGGCUGCCCCAGCCGCGGGUUUGGAGGGGAGGGGGGAAGAGGGGAGGGGACGAAGAGGCAGGAGUGUGGUGACACUGGUUCUAGUCAUAACCUCCGAGAGCGUGCGAAUGCCAAGGCUAAAGGGAGAGCUUGAGAAUUGUACGGCAGAGGUGCUCAUCCGCCGCCCCUUCUCCAAGUUUACCCCUCCAGGUCGUCGCCUCCAGUCAAACCCAAGACCCAGAAGAGCAAUGUUUCUUUCACUUCCCUGAAACGGCGUUUGAGCUUGGAAGCUACCGGGGAAAUGGGGCUAUGGGGUGCCUGGACCUGGCUCUGACCUCGGAAUAGGGGUAGGGGAGUCUUUCAGCCAAGGUUGCCAGUCGCUUCUACCAUCCCCACCCCCCUUCUCGUUCCAGCUCACCAGGGUCCACCGACAGCAGCUUCAGAGAAAGCAAGCCAGGCAAUUCCAAAGGCGAAAACGCAGCCAACUGGCUCACAGCAAAGAGCGGCAGGAAGAAGCGCUGUCCUUACACCAAGCACCAGACGCUGGAGCUGGAGAAGGAGUUUCUGUUCAACAUGUACCUUACUCGAGAG